rnacentral:snRNA from 1 species
AAAACUUUUUCAAAAGAAAAAUCUGUUCUUAUCAGUUUAAUAUCUGAUACGUCCCCCAUCGGGGGACUACAUAUUAAAUGGAUUUUUCGAACAGGGAGUCGGAAAUGGGGCUUGCUCCGUCCGCUCCACGCAUCGACCCGGUAUUGCAGUACCUCCGGGAACGGUGCACCACUU